rnacentral:rRNA from 1 species
AUUGAACGCUGGCGGCAGGCCUAACACAUGCAAGUCGAACGAGCGGCGGACGGGUGAGUAAUGUCUGGGAAACUGCCUGAUGGCGGGGGAUAACUACUGGAAACGGUAGCUAAUACCGCAUACCAUCGGAUGUGCCCAGAUGGGAUUAGCUGGCAGGUGGGGUAAAGGCUCACCUGGGCGACUAUCCCUAGCUGGUCUGAGAGGAUGACCGGCCACACUGGAACUGAGACAAGGUCCAGAAUCCUCCGGGAGGCAGCAGUGGGGAAUAUUGAACAAUGGGCGCAAGCCUGAUGCAGCCAUGCCGCGUGUAUGAAGAAGGCCUUCGGGUUGUAAAGUACUUUCAGCGAGGAGGCGUUACCCGCAGAAGAAGCACCGGCUAACUCCGUGCCAGCAGCCGCGGUAAUUC